rnacentral:rRNA from 1 species
UACAUAUGGGGCAAGCGUUGUUCGGAAUUACUGGGCGUAAAGGGUGCGUAGGUGGUCUAUUAAGUCAGGGGUGAAAUCCCGCGGCCCAACCGUGGAACGGCCUUUGAUACUGAUGGACUUGAGUGCGUGAGGGGUAGGGGGAACGAGCAGUGUAGCGGUGAAAUGCGCAGAUAUUAGGAGGAACACCGGUGGCGAAGGCGCCACUCUGGGCCGAAACUGACGCUGAGGAGCGAAAGCAUGGGUAGCAAACAGG